rnacentral:misc_RNA from 1 species
AACCUAGCACACCUGCGGUGUGUACCUGCGGAGGGAUCAUUAUCGAGUGUAAUCUACCCCUUUAAAAAAGGGUAGUACCUCCCGUCCUUUGCAGGCCUCUUUUUUUAUUAGGGGGGGCUUUUUAAGACUUUCUGCUUCGGCGGGGUUACUCCCGCCGGAACACCCUCAAAAAAUUCUCGAAAAAAAUCGUUCAGUCCGAGAACUUUUUAAAAAUAAAAUAAAACUUUUAACAAUGGAUCU